rnacentral:rRNA from 1 species
CCUACGGGGGGCUGCAGUGGGGAAUAUUGCGCAAUGGGGGGAACCCUGACGCAGCAACGCCGCGUGAAGGAUGAAGGCCUUCGGGUUGUAAACUUCUUUGAUUGGGGAAGAAAUUUGACGGUACCCAAAGAACAAGCCACGGCUAACUACGUGCCAGCAGCCGCGGUAAUACGUAGGUGGCGAGCGUUGUCCGGAAUUACUGGGUGUAAAGGGCGUGUAGGCGGGGAUGCAAGUCAGAUGUGAAAUUCCGGGGCUCAACCCCGGCACUGCAUCUGAAACUGUGUCUCUUGAGUGCUGGAGAGGAAAGUGGAAUUCCUAGUGUAGCGGUGAAAUGCGUAGAGAUUAGGAGGAACACCAGUGGCGAAGGCGACUUUCUGGACAGUAACUGACGCUGAGGCGCGAGAGCGUGGGGAGCAAACAGGAUUAGAUACCCCAGUAGUC